rnacentral:rRNA from 1 species
GACGAACGCUGGCGGCGUGCUUAACACAUGCAAGUCGAACGGUAAGGCUCCAGCUUGCUGGGGUACACGAGUGGCGAACGGGUGAGUAACACGUGGGUGACCUGCCCUGCACUUCGGGAUAAGCCUGGGAAACUGGGUCUAAUACCGGAUAGGACCGCACCGUGAGGGUGUGGUGGAAAGUUUUUUCGGUGUGGGAUGGGCCCGCGGCCUAUCAGCUUGUUGGUGGGGUAAUGGCCUACCAAGGCGGCGACGGGUAGCCGGCCUGAGAGGGUGGACGGCCACAUUGGGACUGAGACACGGCCCAGACUCCUACGGGAGGCAGCAGUGGGGAAUAUUGCACAAUGGGCGGAAGCCUGAUGCAGCGACGCCGCGUGGGGGAUGACGGCCUUCGGGUUGUAAACUCCUUUCACCAUCGACGAAGGGUUUCUGACGGUAGAUGGAGAAGAAGCACCGGCUAACUACGUGUCAGCAGCCGCGGUAAUACGUAGGGUGCGAGCGUUGUCCGGAAUUACUGGGCGUAAAGAGCUCGUAGGUGGUUUGUCGCGUCGUCUGUGAAAUUCCGGGGCUUAACUCCGGGCGUGCAGGCGAUACGGGCAUAACUUGAGUACUGUAGGGGAGACUGGAAUUCCUGGUGUAGCGGUGAAAUGCGCAGAUAUCAGGAGGAACACCGGUGGCGAAGGCGGGUCUCUGGGCAGUAACUGACGCUGAGGAGCGAAAGCAUGGGGAGCGAACAGGAUUAGAUACCCUGGUAGUCCAUGCCGUAAACGGUGGGCGCUAGGUGUGGGUUUCCUUCCACGGGAUCCGUGCCGUAGCUAACGCAUUAAGCGCCCCGCCUGGGGAGUACGGCCGCAAGGCUAAAACUCAAAGGAAUUGACGGGGGCCCGCACAAGCGGCGGAGCAUGUGGAUUAAUUCGAUGCAACGCGAAGAACCUUACCUGGGCUUGACAUAUACAGGAUCGCGCCAGAGAUGGUGUUUCCCUUGUGGCUUGUAUACAGGUGGUGCAUGGUUGUCGUCAGCUCGUGUCGUGAGAUGUUGGGUUAAGUCCCGCAACGAGCGCAACCCUUGUCUUAUGUUGCCAGCACGUUGUGGUGGGGACUCGUAAGAAACUGCCGGGGUUAACUCGGAGGAAGGUGGGGAUGACGUCAAAUCAUCAUGCCCCUUAUGUCCAGGGCUUCACACAUGCUACAAUGGUCGGUACAGUGGGUUGCCAGUCCGUGAGGGCGAGCUAAUCCCGCAAAGCCGGUCUCAGUUCGGAUCGGGGUCUGCAACUCGACCCCGUGAAGUCGGAGUCGCUAGUAAUCGCAGAUCAGCAACGCUGCGGUGAAUACGUUCCCGGGCCU